rnacentral:rRNA from 1 species
UCAGACGAUGCGUCAUGCAUAUCAAUAAGCGGAGGAAAAGAAACUAACAAGGAUUCCCUUAGUAACGGCGAGUGAAGCGGGAAGAGCUCAAAUUUGAAAUCUUCAAGGUUUUACCUUGACGAAUUGUAGUUUAAAGAAGUGUUUUCUGCUGAAGUUUUGGUAAAAGUUCUUUGGAAUAGGACAUCAUAGAGGGUGAGAAUCCCGUAUUUGACCAUUAUUUUCAGCUUUGUGAUACACUUUCAAAGAGUCGGAUUGUUUGGGAAUGCAGUCCAAAAUGGGUGGUAAAUUUCAUCUAAAGCUAAAUAUUGGCGAGAGACCGAUAGCGAACAAGUACCGUGAGGGAAAGAUGAAAAGAACUUUGAAAAGAGAGUUAAACAGUACGUGAAAUUGUCAAAAGGGAAGCGUUUGACACCAGUGUUGUUUUCUCGAAAAUCAAUUAAAAAUGGCUCGAUUUUGUAUUGCUGAGACCUUAAAAGCUCACUGUACAUUUUUCGUGUCUUUUUUAAUGCACUUUUCGUUUAACAAGUCAACAUCAGUUUCUUUUGUUGUAAAAGGGUCAUUGGAAGGUGGCUUUCUUUUCGGAGAAAGUGUUUAUAGCCUUUGGCCUCUGCAAUCGAAGAGACUGAGGUCUGCAUGCGUAGACUCUUCGGGGUUAGAUACAUUUGUGCUAAGUUAUAGCUUUUUAUAGACAACUUGUUGACUAUAAUUAGUCUUGUAGCUUACUCGCUUAUGCUAUUUUACCUACGCUUAGGAUGUUGACGAUCAGCUGAGCGCG